UGCAAGCGACCACGAAAAUAGCGUCGGUUACUCACGCACUUCUGCUCAAAAUGUUCCGAAAAGACUAAAAGCAUCAGACAAAGAUCGAGCCAAUGAAGGCAAGUUCUGAAGGAGUGGCAUCCAUCAUUAGUCUUGCCACCAGGAAGCUUUUGAGAUGCAACAAGGAGCUGCUGGUGCACAUCACCGGGAUAUCAGUGGAAGGUGCCAACUGCAAGCUCAUGAAGCGAGGAGACCAUCCCGACGACACCUUGCGUUGCCUUCUCAGGGUACGAUCUGGAGGCAGCGAAGGGCAUGGGCACACACGUUGAUACAGUUUGGCUUUUCGAAGUGCAAGACGCGGAGGAUGGCUUGACUGCGGUCAUGGCGGCGUACUGGUUUUUCUGCAUCGCCCAUGGCCAGAAGACAUAAAAUACGAGCUGCCUUCUUGAGAGGCUUUGUCUUGUUCUAACCUAAUCACAGCUACGGUCAGUUGCAAUCGAGGUGAUUAAUACAAUGAAGAAAACACCUGUAGCCUGAUUGCUGAUCACAUAGUGUGAUCGCCG